CCUGGUGUGGGUUAAGGCUUUUGGCUGUUUGAAUGUAUUCCAGCUUUUAAGGAUUAUUCCAAAUCAGAAAUGGUUAUUCAGCCCCCUCCAACCAGUGACGCCACUACUCCAAGGCUAAUUUUACUGCCAGCAGCCCUCAGUCACCUUUGUUGUGGAUUUCCUCAGCAGGAGUGAUCUUGCAGGAUGAACUUUAUUUUCAGACGCUCUCUGACACAAAACUGCCCCCACUCCAGACUCAGACGCAUCCACCUCCACAAUGAACUGUUUGGAGAAAACGUCUUUUCAGCUCAGUAAACGCCUUAUUUGCUCCCUCAUCCCAGACAAAACGUACCUUAGCCAAGGUGAGUCUCUAAAAGCCUUGCAUGAAAUGCCUGUCGAAAUUUGCAAACCCCAGGAUGCGCUUUAACUGUUAACAUCCAGAAGGGACAGGCCAUGCGAGAACGGCUUUAACCUUGACCAUUUGCAUAGUCCCAGGGGUAAUCACGUGGACAAGAAACUUGGUCUGAGUGGUGUGGAACUUGCAUUUUUUUUGGGUGGUACAGCUGGUUCUUGAGAAGGCUGUGUAAAAUGCCUCUGAUAUGCUGCACGUGGGUGUCGAGAUCUGGGUAGAAUAUCAAAAUGUCAUCAAGGUACACAAACACAAAUUUGUUUAUCAUAUCCUUGAGUACUUCAUUGAUAAGACUCUGAAACAUUGCAGCAGCAUUUGGGAGUCCAGUGACCCCGAAAGGUACAAACGCAUUAAAAGAUGAAUGAACUCAUGCCACAGAUGCUUAAUAUAGGACAGGGGCCAUCAUUCAAAUGCAAAUUUAUGAUAAUAACUAAUGCCACAGAUGCUUAUCUCUUUGUACUCUUUAUUCUGUUCUUCCUUUAUUUCAGAAUGCUGAAAUCAAAGUCAACUUUAUUGUCGAUUCUUCACAUGUGCAUCACAUACAAUGAAUCGAAAUUCCGUUUCUUACUCUCUCAUGUCUGUUCAAGAGAAGAAAAAAAUAUAUAUAUAUAACCCAGGAUGAGAAUUUUAUUGACAAGAAAGCACAAUGUAAUCGAUGACAUUGUUGUGAUGGCACAUUAAAUAUAGAUAUUACUUUUAAAUGUAGAAUAUAUUUAGACUCUUGUUAAUAUUGGACAGAGGGAUAAGGUAUAUAAGGUAUUGUUGAGAUAUUUUUAAGAUUUAAAUAAUUUUAUAACUGGAAUUUAAAAGUUGACAUGAAACACACCUUUAAAUAAAACAAUGUUUUCAGUAAAAUGGUAAAUGGUAAACAGCAAAUAAUUGUAUAUUGUAUAGGGCUUUUCUACCUUUCUCGAAGGCCGAAAGCGCUUUACAGUCACAGUCCCAUUCACCCAUUCACACACGUUCACACACUGAUUGUGGCUCUGCUGCUGCCGAACACUGGCACCAACCUUCCACCAGAGGCAAGUUAUAUAUAUGUCAUUAACCAUAUGAAAAUUAGCUUUUAUGACUCCCCAACAUCUUUUCACGAGGUAUAUUUGGUGUAAGUACAAAAACUUUUGGAUACAUGAUUAAAAUAGUCUAUGUUAAAAUAUGCACAUUUGGCUACCCUCCAAACUGAAUACUUGUUGACUUCAAAGCUAAGAUAUAUAGAGUAAAAAAUGAAAGUAAACUCUUUAAAAUAAUAGGUGAAAUAGUAAAGUCUGUCAAAAAAAGAGCUAAAAAUCAUACAUUCUCAAUUGUUUUCUUUAAAAAUUAGUUUUGCAACAACAUUUGUAAUUUUUUUUCGUUAUGUUUAUAUGUAAUGUGAUGUUGUUUACUAGAAGAAUUGACUGGCAUUUACAGAAACAGGACACCAGUCCUCUUAACCUUCUGAGCAGAAAUGAGCAGUGCUGUGGGGGAGAUAUCAUGUUAUGCAGCUGCCUGUUAAAUUUAUUGGAUGACCAUCUACAUUUUUCAGACUGGGGCAGGGUAGACUCCAUAAUCAAAAGUAGGACAGUGUCAGCAAGUGUUGCUUUAUGUAUCAGGGAUAUAAAAUGAUGACGGAUGAUCUCCCACAGCAUUUGAAAGGGGUCUGUGAGCCCUCGUAGUUGGCUCAUUUUUGUUGACUCAGUUUUUAACACAACUCUACAUCUUUUUUUACUCCAUAGCAGAUGCAGUCCUGUAACAACUUCAUGAAUUUGAGGUCCUUAGUGCCUGAAAAGAAACUAUCCCAGGGUAUUUCUCCAAAGUUUUAGAAUUUUUGGGAACUGGUCUAAUGGAAAGAAAAACGUGUGGAAAACAUCUGUCACAUUCCUGAUUUUUAUUUGUUAUUUCACUGAAUAAAACUUGUUGAGGAAAACA